AGAAUAAAUCUUCCUUAGUAUUAAAACAACAUUAAAUUAUCUUGAUAUCGCCUAACAUUGUAAGCAAGACGCUUAAACCGAUUACUCUUAAAACUGUUAAAUAGACUAAAAUAUUUAGGUACGUUGUGGCGCUGCCGUUAACUUACCAGGCGACAACAGAUAUUCACUACCGUUUGCUGAGUUUGAAAGCCCGAAAGAAGAAUUGACACAAUGAGCACCGUCGCCAUUGUUGCCUGCAUCGUUUUGGGAUGCAUUGCCAUUUCUGAAGCUCGUGAUUGCAUUGAUUACCUUGGUAAACCCGUUGCUUCUGGACAAUCUUAUUACGAUGGAUGCAACACUUGUCAAUGUGGAGUUAACGGAAUG